AUGUCGUCGUGGUUUCCGUCCUCCUACUACGACGAGGAUGACGUCAAGCCGGCGGUGACGACGCAUUGGCGCCGUGACUAUGGCUACGGCUACGGCGGGGGAGUCGCCGGGGAGGACGUCAAGCCGCGUCCGGGUCCUCCGGGAGCAGGAGCAGGAGCAGGCCGAGGUGUACAUGGACAGGACGAUCGGGCGGCGCUCUCUUGGCCGGCGGCCGAGGAGUUCAAGUCGACGCUGCGCACGCAGGAGUCCCUCGCCGGCCUCCGCACCAGGUACGGCAUCCCGGAGGGGUUCGGCCUGCACCUCGCCGGCCCCGCCCAGGCAGUGUGCGCGCCGCCCCCUCCCGCCGCUCGCGGAGCCCGAGGCGGCGCCGCGGCGGUGCCGAUCUGCGUGCACACGCAGGCGUUCGCCGCGGGCAUGCGCCUGCCGCUGCACCCCUUCUUCAGCGACGCGCUCGCGCACUUCGGCAUCGCCCCGUCGCAGCUCGCGCCCAACGGGUGGCGCGUCCUGGCCGGCUUCGCGGUGCUCUGCCACUUCCGCGGCGCCGGCGCGCCCUCCUUGCCGGUGUUCCGCCACUUCUUCGCCCUCACGCCGCUCCCCAACGGGAAGGGCUGGUUCUCCUUCCGCUCCAGGGAGAGCGUCCCGUCGCUCUUCACCGGGCUCCCCACGUCCGUCAAGGGGUGGAAGGAGGAGUUCCUGCUCGUGUCGCCUCCGCCGGGCGCGCCCUGGAAGUGCCCCGUGCGGUGGGGCUCCCCGACGAAGGAGGCGACGAGCGACCCCAUGCUCACCGGCAACGAUGCGGCCGUGGCGUGCCGGCUGUCGCAGGGGCAGGGCGUCGUCGACCUUAAGACCUACCUCUCCGAGAGCAACCUCGUCGCCGCCAAGAUUAGCCGCGCCCCGGCGUGUGUCGGGACGGGAGCUUCCCAAGGCGCAGCGCCACCGACGGCCUCAGGGAAGAAGAGAAAGGUGGCUGCUCCUGCUGGUGCUGCUGUUGCUGGCGGCGGCGGCGGCGUCGGCGACGUGCUUCGUUCGGAGCUGCGCGCGAAGGAGAUGGCCCUCUCCAAGGCCAAGGGCGAGAUCAGCCAGCUGAAGAAGGAGCUGGGCGAUGCCAAGAAGAGGGAGCUUGCCGAGGCGCAGCAGGCACUGGCCUACGCGGCGCAGGUGCUCAAGCCGGAAGGCGGCGGGAAGGGCGCGGGGGCCGGCAAGCGGCGUCGUGGCGCCCAGUGA
rnacentral:rRNA from 1 species